rnacentral:rRNA from 1 species
ACGAGUGGCGGACGGGUGAGUAAUGUCUGGGAAACUGCCCGGUGGAGGGGGAUAACUACUGGAAACGGUAGCUAAUACCGCAUAACGUCGCAAGACCAAAGAGGGGGACCUUCGGGCCUCUUGCCACCGGAUGUGCCCAGAUGGGAUUAGCUUGUUGGUGAGGUAACGGCUCACCAAGGCGACGAUUCCUAGCUGGUCUGAGAGGAUGACCAGCCACACUGGAACUGAGACACGGUCCAGACUCCUACGGGAGGCAGCAG